rnacentral:rRNA from 1 species
GGGUUGUGAGGUUAAGCGACUAAGCGUACACGGUGGAUGCCCUGGCAGUCAGAGGCGAUGAAGGGCGUGCUAAUCUGCGAUAAGCGCCGGUAAGGUGAUAUGAACCGUUAUAACCGGCGAUACCCGAAUGGGGAAACCCAGUGUGAUUCGUCACACUAUCAUUAACUGAAUCCAUAGGUUAAUGAGGCGAACCGGGGGAACUGAAACAUCUAAGUACCCCGAGGAAAAGAAAUCAACCGAGAUUCCCCCAGUAGCGGCGAGCGAACGGGGAGGAGCCCAGAGCCUGAAUCAGCAUGUGUGUUAGUGGAAGCGUCUGGAAAGGCGCGCGAUACAGGGUGACAGCCCCGUACACAAAAGCGCAUGUGCUGUGAGCUCGAUGAGUAGGGCGGGACACGUGGUAUCCUGUCUGAAUAUGGGGGGACCAUCCUCCAAGGCUAAAUACUCCUGACUGACCGAUAGUGAACCAGUACCGUGAGGGAAAGGCGAAAAGAACCCCGGCGAGGGGAGUGAAAAAGAACCUGAAACCGUGUACGUACAAGCAGUGGGAGCACCCUUCGGGGUGUGACUGCGUACCUUUUGUAUAAUGGGUCAGCGACUUAUAUUCUGUAGCAAGGUUAACCGUAUAGGGGAGCCGGAGGGAAACCGAGUCUUAACCGGGCGUUAAGUUGCAGGGUAUAGACCCGAAACCCGGUGAUCUAGCCAUGGGCAGGUUGAAGGUUGGGUAACACUAACUGGAGGACCGAACCGACUAAUGUUGAAAAAUUAGCGGAUGACCUGUGGCUGGGGGUGAAAGGCCAAUCAAACCGGGAGAUAGCUGGUUCUCCCCGAAAGCUAUUUAGGUAGCGCCUCGUGAAUUCAUCUCCGGGGGUAGAGCACUGUUUCGGCUAGGGGGCCAUCCCGGCUUACCAACCCGAUGCAAACUGCGAAUACCGGAGAAUGUUAUCACGGGAGACACACGGCGGGUGCUAACGUCCGUCGUGAAGAGGGAAACAACCCAGACCGCCAGCUAAGGUCCCAAAGUCAUGGUUAAGUGGGAAACGAUGUGGGAAGGCCCAGACAGCCAGGAUGUUGGCUUAGAAGCAGCCAUCAUUUAAAGAAAGCGUAAUAGCUCACUGGUCGAGUCGGCCUGCGCGGAAGAUGUAACGGGGCUAAACCAUGCACCGAAGCUGCGGCAGCGAACGUAUCACCCAAGACAACUUUACGGAGUUGACGAUUGACGGAGCGAAGCGACGUCAAAGCGUUCAUUAAAGUCGAGUUGGCUUAGGGAUACGUUCGUUGGGUAGGGGAGCGUUCUGUAAGCCUGUGAAGGUGUGUCGUGAGGCAUGCUGGAGGUAUCAGAAGUGCGAAUGCUGACAUAAGUAACGAUAAAGCGGGUGAAAAGCCCGCUCGCCGGAAGACCAAGGGUUCCUGUCCAACGUUAAUCGGGGCAGGGUGAGUCGACCCCUAAGGCGAGGCCGAAAGGCGUAGUCGAUGGGAAACGGGUUAAUAUUCCCGUACUUGGUGUUACUGCGAAGGGGGGACGGAGAAGGCUAUGUUGGCCGGGCGACGGUUGUCCCGGUUUAAGCGUGUAGGUGUGUGUUCCAGGUAAAUCCGGUUCACUUUAACACUGAGGCGUGACGACGAGGCACUACGGUGCUGAAGCAACAAAUGCCCUGCUUCCAGGAAAAGCCUCUAAGCAUCAGGUAACAUCAAAUCGUACCCCAAACCGACACAGGUGGUCAGGUAGAGAAUACCAAGGCGCUUGAGAGAACUCGGGUGAAGGAACUAGGCAAAAUGGUGCCGUAACUUCGGGAGAAGGCACGCUGACACGUAGGUGAAGUGAUUUACUCAUGGAGCUGAAGUCAGUCGAAGAUACCAGCUGGCUGCAACUGUUUAUUAAAAACACAGCACUGUGCAAACACGAAAGUGGACGUAUACGGUGUGACGCCUGCCCGGUGCCGGAAGGUUAAUUGAUGGGGUCAGCGCAAGCGAAGCUCCUGAUCGAAGCCCCGGUAAACGGCGGCCGUAACUAUAACGGUCCUAAGGUAGCGAAAUUCCUUGUCGGGUAAGUUCCGACCUGCACGAAUGGCGUAAUGAUGGCCAGGCUGUCUCCACCCGAGACUCAGUGAAAUUGAACUCGCUGUGAAGAUGCAGUGUACCCGCGGCAAGACGGAAAGACCCCGUGAACCUUUACUAUAGCUUGACACUGAACAUUGAGCCUUGAUGUGUAGGAUAGGUGGGAGGCUUUGAAGUGUGGACGCCAGUCUGCAUGGAGCCGACCUUGAAAUACCACCCUUUAAUGUUUGAUGUUCUAACGUGGACCCGUAAUCCGGGUUGCGGACAGUGUCUGGUGGGUAGUUUGACUGGGGCGGUCUCCUCCUAAAGAGUAACGGAGGAGCACGAAGGUUGGCUAAUCCUGGUCGGACAUCAGGAGGUUAGUGCAAUGGCAUAAGCCAGCUUGACUGCGAGCGUGACGGCGCGAGCAGGUGCGAAAGCAGGUCAUAGUGAUCCGGUGGUUCUGAAUGGAAGGGCCAUCGCUCAACGGAUAAAAGGUACUCCGGGGAUAACAGGCUGAUACCGCCCAAGAGUUCAUAUCGACGGCGGUGUUUGGCACCUCGAUGUCGGCUCAUCACAUCCUGGGGCUGAAGUAGGUCCCAAGGGUAUGGCUGUUCGCCAUUUAAAGUGGUACGCGAGCUGGGUUUAGAACGUCGUGAGACAGUUCGGUCCCUAUCUGCCGUGGGCGCUGGAGAACUGAGGGGGGCUGCUCCUAGUACGAGAGGACCGGAGUGGACGCAUCACUGGUGUUCGGGUUGUCAUGCCAAUGGCACUGCCCGGUAGCUAAAUGCGGAAGAGAUAAGUGCUGAAAGCAUCUAAGCACGAAACUUGCCCCGAGAUGAGUUCUCCCUGAGACUUAGAGUCUCCUGAAGGAACGUUGAAGACGACGACGUUGAUAGGCC